UACAGAGGUCCCAAGCGUUGUUCGAAUUCACUGGGCGUAAAGGGUGCGUAGGUGGCCAGGUAAGUUCGGUGUGAAAGCUCGGAGCUUAACUCCGAAAUGGCAUUGAAUACUACAUGGCUGGAGGUUUGGAGGGGGGACUGGAAUUCUUGGUGUAGCAGUGAAAUGCGUAGAUAUCAAGAGGAACACCAGUGGCGAAGGCGAGUCCCUGGACAACACCUGACACUGAGGCACGAAAGCUAGGGGAGCAAACAGG
rnacentral:rRNA from 1 species